GGAGCUCGUGGCCCCAGAACAAAGCUUGAGAAAAGUAAACAGGCGGCUGCUGCCGGCGAGCCUCCCUCCUUCCCUCUCCCCCUCAGCCUCCUUCCCGCCCUUGCCCUGCUGUUUCCUUCCAGCAGCUCCGCGGGGAGGAGGGGAAUGGGCUUGCUCUCUCUCCGGCGAUUACUAACUUUUGCAUCGCCCCUGUUUUGUCUUUCUCUCCCUGUCCCCUUCCCGCCCUCUGCAGACCAUGGUGAAUCCGGGCAGCAGCUCGCAGCCGCCCCCGGUGACGGCCGGCUCCCUCUCCUGGAAGCGGUGCGCAGGCUGCGGGGGCAAGAUUGCGGACCGCUUUCUGCUCUAUGCCAUGGACAGCUAUUGGCACAGCCGGUGCCUCAAGUGCUCCUGCUGCCAGGCGCAGCUGGGCGACAUCGGCACGUCCUGUUACACCAAAAGCGGUAUGAUCCUUUGCAGAAAUGACUACAUUAGGUUAUUUGGAAAUAGCGGUGCUUGCAGCGCUUGUGGACAGUCGAUUCCUGCGAGUGAACUCGUCAUGAGGGCGCAAGGCAAUGUGUAUCAUCUUAAGUGUUUUACGUGCUCUACCUGCCGGAAUCGCCUGGUCCCGGGAGAUCGGUUUCACUACAUCAAUGGCAGUUUAUUUUGUGAACAUGAUAGACCUACAGCUCUCAUCAAUGGCCAUUUGAAUUCACUUCAGAGCAAUCCACUACUGCCAGACCAGAAGGUCUGCUAAAAGGUCAGAGUAAUGCAGAAUGCGUGCCUUCAUCUCAGAUUUGUUCAUCACAGGUGGAUCCCAUGUGUCUUCAGUAGACAAGUCACCUUUGUAGCUAGCACCAGUGCCAGCUCCAUGCCAUUGCACCUUCUUUAGUCUUGAUUGCCCUUCCCGCAUUUAUUGGUGUAUUAAAAUGACUGAAUAUGAACAUUAAGGACUCCAUGAACCUGGGCUAAUGGG
rnacentral:sRNA from 1 species